CACGGAGUUAGCCGGUGCUUAUUCGUAUAGUACCUUCAGCUUUCCACACGUGGAAAGGUUUAUCCCUAUACAAAAGAAGUUUACAACCCAUAGGGCCGUCGUCCUUCACGCGGGAUGGCUGGAUCAGGCUCUCACCCAUUGUCCAAUAUUCCUCACUGCUGCCUCCCGUAGGAGUCUGGUCCGUGUCUCAGUACCAGUGUGGGGGAUCACCCUCUCAGGCCCCCUAAAGAUCACUGACUUGGUAGGCCGUUACCCUACCAACUAUCUAAUCUUGCGCGUGCCCAUCUCUAUCCACCGGAGUUUUCAAUAAUAAGUGAUGCCACUCAUUAUAUUAUGGGGUAUUAAUCUUCCUUUCGAAAGGCUAUCCCCCUGAUAAAGGCAGGUUGCACACGUGUUCCGCACCCGUACGCCGCUCUCAAAGAUCCGAAGAUCUUCUACCGCUCGGCUUGCAUGUGUUAGGCCUCCCGCUAGCGUUCAUCCUGAGCCAGGAUCAAACUCU
rnacentral:rRNA from 1 species